rnacentral:lncRNA from 1 species
AACUAUAUUUAACAUUUUUUUGGCUAAAUUACAGAAAAAUUCCAUCCAAAUACGAAUUUUCACAUUCCCUGUCAUUUAAAAACUUACACUUUGUCUCUUAUAAAAUAAAAAAUAUCCACUUCACUCCCUACCGUUAGUGAUCCGUUAGGAUUCCAUUAUAAAAAAAAAUUUAUGCUAAAAAUAUCCCUCCGCCUUUUUUUCUGUUGCUUCGCCUUCCUCCGACUCACCAUCUCGCCCUCCUCAACUGCCUCGCCCUCGCCCUAGCCUACAUCUCCGUCCGCGCCCACAAACACCCCUUCGACCUCCUCCGCCGCCUCGCAUUGGCCCUCGUUGCCCUUGCCUACCUUUCCAUCUGCGCCCACCUCGAUUUUCUCCUUACUGUCACCGAAAUCGAGGGGCGGCGAGGGUGCAGGAGGAGAAGGGAAGCAUGUGAAGAAGAAAGUGGAGAGAAAGCGCGGCCGAUCGAGACGUGAACCGUGGCCGAUCGAGGCGGCGAUUGAGGAAGAUGAGGGAGGAGACGAAAAUAGUAAAGGUGUCCAAAAUAUCCGAUAUCCCAUACCCGAUCCGGACCCUAUCCGGACCCGAACCGGAUCCGAACCGGACCCGAUAAAAAAUGAAUAGUAUACGGAUAAAAAAAAUUACCCAUUAAAGUUUCGGGUAUGGGUCCGGAUAUUUUAUACCCAUACCCGAUUUGGACCCGACCCGAACCUAACUUUUAAAGGGGUAGGGUCCGGAAUAGUNCGAUGGGAGAGAGAGAGAGAGAGAGAGAGAGAGAGAGAGAGAGAGCGGUAGGAGAAGGAAGCUCAUUGGUUAGUGCUGGUUUGGUAACUCUUGUCGUUUAACUAUAUUUUUUUGGCUAAAUUACAGAAAAAUCCCAUCCAAAUCCGAAUUUUCACAUUUUCUGUCAUUUAAAAACUUACACUUUGUCCCUUAUAAAAUAAAAAAUUUACACUUCACUCCCUACCGUUAGUGAUCCGUUAGGAUUCCGUUAUAAAAAUUUUUUUAUGCUAAAAAUGUCCCUCCGCCUUUUUUUCUGUUGCUUCGCCUUCCUCCGCCUCACCACCUCGCCCUCCUCAACUGCCUCGCCCUCGCCCUAGCCUACAUCUCCGUCCGCGCCCACAAACACCCCUUCGACCUCCUCCGCCGCCUCGCAUUGGCCCUCGUUGCCCUUGCCUACCUUUCCAUCUGCGCCCACCUCGAUUUCCUCCUUACUGUCACCGAAAUCGAGGGGCGGCGAGGGUGCAGGAGGAGAAGGAAAGCAUGUGAAGAAGAAAAUGGAGAGAAACCGCGACCGAUCGAGACGUGAACCGUGGCCGAUCGAGGCGGCGAUUGAGGAAGAUGAGGGAGGAGACGAAAAUAGUGAGAGACAAAAUGGUCAUUUUAUCAUCACAAUACACACCGUUCCUCUCUGUGAACAUUUUUCAUUUUACAAGGAGGCAAAGUAUAGAUUUUUAAAUAAUAGGGGGAAGUGAAAAAUCGAGUUUUGACAUGAGUGUUUUAUGUAAUUUAGUCUUUUUUUAAUUCAUGGCUCUCAAAAAAAAAUUUAUAAAUAACUUCAUCAAAUUUAUAAUUACAAAUUUGACCAUAUCUCCGCCACGCAAGCGCCACAUCAGCACCAUGCAAGUCGAAGGGGCGUUAAGUUGAACACGAUGAAUCAUUCACCUUAUUUAAAUACGGUGAAUGAUUCAUCGUGUUCCAUUAUUUUUUCCAGACACGGUGAACCAUUCAUCGUGUUUAGAUACGAUGAAUGGAUUAUCGUGUUCAACUUAUUUUAACGCCUCUACUUGCUUGUGUAACGCUUACGUGACAGGGAUAGGGCCAAAAUUAUAAUUAUAAAUUUAGUAGGGUUAUUUGUGAAAAUAAAAUUUUUGAGGGGACCAAAUGCAAAA